rnacentral:rRNA from 1 species
AUUGAACGCUGGCGGCAGGCUUAACACAUGCAAGUCGAGCGAGCGGCGGACGGGUGAGUAAUGUCUGGGAAACUGCCUGAUGGAGGGGGAUAACCACGGGAAGAGGUAGCUAAUACCGCAUACCAUCAGAUGUGCCCAGAUGGGAUUGGCUAUUAGGGGGGGUAAGGGCUCACAUAGGGGACGAUCCCUAGCUGGUCUGAGAGGAUGACCAGCCACACUGGAACUGAGACACGGUCCAGACUCCUACGGGAGGCAGCAGUGGGGAAUAUUGCACAAUGGGCGCAAGCCUGAUGCAGCCAUGCCGCGUGUAUGAAGAAGGCCUUCGGGUUGUAAAGCACUUUCAGCGAGGAGGCGUUACUCGCAGAAGAAGCACCGGCUAACUCCGUGCCAGCCGCCGCGGUAAUAC